CGGACGGGUGAGUAAUGUAUGGGGAUCUGCCUGAUGGCGGGGGAUAACUACUGGAAACGGUAGCUAAUACCGCAUAAUGUCUACGGACCAAAGCGGGGGACCUUCGGGCCUCGCGCCAUCAGAUGAACCCAUAUGGGAUUAGCUUGUAGGUAAGGUAACGGCUUACCUAGGCGACGAUCCCUAGCUGGUCUGAGAGGAUGAUCAGCCACACUGGGACUGAGACACGGCCCAG
rnacentral:rRNA from 1 species